AGCAGAGGCACCCGGACGCCGUCCCGCUGCUGCCUGGCAGGGGGAUUUGGGAAAGGAAAGCUCUGGUCUGCAACCGACUCAAGAGCAAAAUGUUACGGAAAGAAAAAUCCGGGAGGAUUGGGGCUCUGGUGGCUGCGCGCUAGCACGGCGCAGUGGGAGCGGACGCACACAGCCAAGGAUCCAACAUCAAGUCCGGCGCGAUGAAGUGAUGCCAUGCGACGGCAGACAGACCCGCUGCUCACCGGGGUGGUCUGCAACGGCAGGCUUCGUAAGGUGACGACUGGAGGUGGCUCCAGAGGCAGCACGCGCAGGUCCCCGAGGCGGGAGGGAAGCAGCGAGUCGACGCCCAACGUCACGCUCUCUCUGGAGCUGCAGGCGGCAGGGUGCCAGCGCUGGAGGUCGGCGCGGGAGAUAAAGAGAAGGCCUGUGGACUUGCCUCGAAGAUGCAUAAAAAAUGGCUAAUUGCAAUGUAUUUACUCCUAAGGAUUUUAUCAGUAGAAGAACUGCAGCCCACUCAUCUUCUGCUUGCUGGUGUCCCUGUGCUUUUGGGGGUGUCCCGGAGCUCUGCCCGAGUGCCGAGUCCAGCCGUGCCGCCACGAGCGUGCCCAUGUCCCUGAUGCCCGGCAGGAGCGGCACUUGGUGUAUUAGGCAAGAAACCCCCGGGGGCUGGUUUUUUUGGUUCACUGGCAGAUGAGUGGCACAAACCCCAUUUGUGGAGCAUCGGGUUUUGCCUCUGUUGGAGAAAACACGGGGGUUUAAUGCCACCGUUGCCGGAGUGGGUGUGCGGGGGCUGCAGAGACGGGGCGUUUUUCUGUGCCAAAGCGUGUAAGGCGUUUCAGAGAGGGUCCCCAAACGGCCCCGCCAGGUCAGGGAGGUGGCAUCAGCUCUGCUCUCAGCCUUUGCGCUACCAAGGUAACGCGCAUUUUGCUCUCCCGGGUCCAUGCUGCAGGAGGACCGGUCCCUCAUCCCAUCCCCACCCCUCGACUGCCUUUUUGGGCCACCUUCGCGCGCUCCAGCCGGAGCUGGUCUUUGGAACGGACUCUGGAGAGCACCACGACUGAGAUAAAGCAGUGCUUGGUUUAUUCAUCCCACAGCGGAGAAGUCCUGCCCCCACCUUGCAGAGGGACAGCUUGCCUCUGCCGCCCCAGGGAAGAGGUUUCCCUGGCCAUGCUGGAGCCGAGAGGGGCGGCCGCAGCCCCCAGCCCCAUCCUCCUUCCAGCCGCACCUCUUCUCUCCUUGAAGCAGGCUACUGCUGCGAAGGGAAGCACGUUCACCGCUCCCUUUCUCUCCUUCCCCCUUAAAAACUCUUCCUUCAUCCCACUUUGCUGUUUUCUUCCUUCUAGAAGGCUCAGCUCCAGCUCUUUACAUCAAUAUGUUCCGCUCACAAGGUC